UGAGGGAAUAUUGGGUCAAUGGGCGAGAGCCUGAACCAGCCAAGUAGCGUGCAGGACGACGGCCCUAUGGGUUGUAAACUGCUUUUAUACGGGAAUAAAGUGAUGCCUGCGGGCGUUAUUGCAUGUACCGUACGAAUAAGGACCGGCUAAUUCCGUGCCAGCAGCCGCGGUAAUACGGAAGGUCCAGGCGUUAUCCGGAUUUAUUGGGUUUAAAGGGAGCGUAGGCGGAUUUUUUAAGUCAGUUGUGAAAGUUUGAGGCUCAACCUUAAAAUUGCAGUUGAAACUGGAAGUCUUGAGUGCACGCAGAGGUGCCGGAAUUCAUGGUGUAGCGGUGAAAUGCUUAGAUAUCAUGAAGAACUCCGAUCGCGAAGGCAAGUGCCUGGAGUGCUACUGACGCCGAGGCUCGAAAGUGCGGGUAUCAAACAGGAUUAGAUACCCUGGUAGU
rnacentral:rRNA from 1 species